UAAGUGAAGAGUUUGAUCCUGGCUCAGAGUGAACGCUGGCGGUAGGCCUAACACAUGCAAGUCGAACGGCAGCACAGGAGAGCUUGCUCUCUGGGUGGCGAGUGGCGGACGGGUGAGGAAUACAUCGGAAUCUACUCUGUCGUGGGGGAUAACGUAGGGAAACUUACGCUAAUACCGCAUACGACCUACGGGUGAAAGCAGGGGACCUUCGGGCCUUGCGCGAUUGAAUGAGCCGAUGUCGGAUUAGCUAGUUGGCGGGGUAAAGGCCCACCAAGGCGACGAUCCGUAGCUGGUCUGAGAGGAUGAUAGCCACACUGGAACUGAGACACGGUCCAGACUCCUACGGGAGGCAGCAGUGGGGAAUAUUGGACAAUGGGCGCAAGCCUGAUCCAGCCAUAC
rnacentral:rRNA from 1 species